rnacentral:rRNA from 1 species
UGGGGAAUUUUGGACAAUGGGCGAAAGCCUGAUCCAGCAAUGCCGCGUGUGUGAAGAAGGCCUUCGGGUUGUAAAGCACUUUUGUCCGGAAAGAAAUCCUUGGCUCUAAUACAGUCGGGGGAUGACGGUACCGGAAGAAUAAGCACCGGCUAACUACGUGCCAGCAGCCGCGGUAAUACGUAGGGUGCAAGCGUUAAUCGGAAUUACUGGGCGUAAAGCGUGCGCAGGCGGUUUUGCUAAGACCGAUGUGAAAUCCCCGGGCUCAACCUGGGAACUGCAUUGGUGACUGGCAGGCUAGAGUAUGGCAGAGGGGGGUAGAAUUCCACGUGUAGCAGUGAAAUGCGUAGAGAUGUGGAGGAAUACCGAUGGCGAAGGCAGCCCCCUGGGCCAAUACUGACGCUCAUGCACGAAAGCGUGGGGAGCAAACAGGAUUAGAUACCCUGGUAGUCCACGCCCUAAACGAUGUCAACUAGUUGUUGGGGAUUCAUUUCCUUAGUAACGUAGCUAACGCGUGAAGUUGACCGCCUGGGGAGUACGGUCGCAAGAUUAAAACUCAAAUGAAUUGACGGGGUCAUAGCUGUUUCCU